rnacentral:rRNA from 1 species
CUGAUCACGAGAGCACUUAAGAUCUCGAAGUGUGUGGAAGGGUGUCCAAGAAAAGCUUCUAAACGUUAAAGCAAGGUCGACCGUACUAAAACUGACACAGGUAGGUGAGAAGAGUAUUCUAAGGCGCUCGGGAGAACGGUGGUUAAGGAACUCUGCAAAAUGGCUCCGUAAGUUCGCGAUAAGGGGCGCCUACGCAAGUAGGCCACAGAAAAUCGGCAGCAGCGACUGUUUAUCAAAAACACAGGACUCUGCGAACUCGUAAGAGGAGGUAUAGAGUCUGACGCCUGCCCGGUGCUGGUAGGUUAAGGAAGAGAGUUAGCCUCACGGCGAAGCCCGCGACCGAAGCCCCAGUAAACGGCGGCCCUAACUAUGAGGGUCCUAAGGUAGCGAAGUUCCUUGUCGGGUAAGUUCCGACCUGCACGAAAGGCGUAACGACUGCUGCACUGUCUCAACCACCGACCCGGUGAAAUUGUAGUUGUGGUGAAGAUGCCACAUACCCGCGGCUAGACGGAAAGACCCCAUGAACCUUCACUGUAGGCUGAUAUUGGGUUGAGGUAUGUUCUGUGCAGAAUAGCUGGGAGGCUUUGAACUGGGGACGCAAGUCUUCAGGGAGUCAACGUUGAGAUACCAGCCUGGAUAUGCUUUAAUUCUAACUUUGACCCAUGAAUCUGGGCUUAGGACAUUGUCAGUCGGGCAGUUUGACUGGGGCGGUCUCCUCCUAAAAAGUAACGGAGGAGCGCAAUGGUACCCUCAGCCUGGUCGGCAAUCAGGCAAAGAGCGUAAAGGUAAAAGGGUGCUUGACUGUGAGACAAAUAAGUCGAACAGGUACGAAAGUAGGCCUUAGUGAUCCGGUAAUUCCGAAUGGAAGGGUUAUCGCUCAUCAGAUAAAAGGUACUCUGGGGAUAACAGGCUUAUCGCCACCGAGCGUCCACAGCGGCGUGGCGGUUUGGCACCUCGAUGUCGGCUCAUCGCAUCCUGGGGGUGAAGAAGCUCCCAAGGGUUUGGCUGUUCGCCAAUGAAAGCGGUACGUGAGCUGGGUCCAGACCGUCGUGAGACAGGUCGGUCCCUAUCUACCGUGGGCGCACGAAACUUGAGGAGGAUCAACCUUAGUACGAGAGGAUUUGGUUGGACUUAGCUCUGGUGUACCAGUUGUCACGCUAGUGGCACGGCUGGAUAGCUAACUAGGGAAAGGAUAAACGCUGAAAGCAUCUAAGCGUGAAGCCCUCUCCAAGACUAGGUUUCGUAGCUACUUGUAGCGAGAGUCCCCUGGUAGACUACCAGGUUGAUAGGACAGAUGUGUACGCACCGUAAGGUGUUUAGCUAACUGUUACUAACGGACGAACGCUUGACCAU